UCUGGGAGCCAACUCCUGCUCCUUCUGAAACCCCAGCCCCGCCCCCUGGGACCUCAGGCCCGCCCCUUCCAGGAGCCCUGCCCUGCCCCCUGGGGCCCAGCCCCGCCCUUUCCGGGACCCCGGCCCACGGGCUGGGGGCUGUUUUGGGUCAUCCUUAAUUGUUUUCUCUGUGCGUCCAUGGCCGGAGCUCUUGCUGGACGGGCCCCCUGCGCGGAGAAGGGAGCACCCACGGGAGCCGCCGGUGAAGGCAGCAGGGAGGGAGGCCACGCUGAUCGGACACCAACUGGACACACCUGGCGCCCGGGAGCUGAGCCCGCGGAUUCCCGGGCGGGGGGCGCUGGACACGGAGGGAGGUAACCUCUGAGUUCCAGAGGGGCAGGAAGCCACUGAGGUUCCCACAAGGCGACCCAGGAGGGGCUCACGGUCAGUCCCAGAGCCCGCCCGGACAGCCCCCCCCCCCGCCAGCGUCUGUGACAUGCCCUUGGCGCCCCCGGGAACUGCACUCCCGGCCCGGUGUCCCGUGGGUGAAGCAACUCACAAAGUCGAGUCUGCAGAAGAUCCAAGCGCCCUAGGACAACGGGGAGGGCAUGCACCUGGCACACGGCCGACCCGGGUUCGAUCCCCAGCAGCCCAUAGGGUCCCCGAGCCCCGCCAGGAGCGACCCUGAGCACAGAGCCAGGAGUCCACAGCCCACGUAAGUAUACAUGUGGGCGCGUUUCAUUCGUAACACACUCUAAUACUUGCUCUGGGGGGCCACACGCUGACCCCUGGCUCUGCUCUCAGGGCCUCCUGGAGGGGCUCGGGGGACCCCAAGGGCUGCUGGGGGUGGAGCCAGCGCCCCUGCCCCACCUCAUGGAACCUCACUCUGGCCAGAUAGUCUCUACUCUUCUCUUUAUUCCCCUGCCCUGUUUCCUUGCUGUCACGGUGCCCGGAGGGCACAGAGGGGGUGUGAGCUGCUUCCUGCACCACACUCACACACAUGCUCGUACAGUUAACACACAUGCACUCACACUCACAUGCUCACACAGUCACACAUACAUGCACACUCACACACACAUGCUCAGUCACACGCGCUCACAUGGUCACACACAUACAUUCACACUCACAUGCUUAUAGUCACAUGCAUUCACACAUGCUCAUACAUGCACUCACAUGCUCAUGGUCACACACAAACACACACAUGCUCGUACAGUCAACACACAUUCACACACAUGCUCACACAUACAUCACAGUCACACACAUAUGUAUGCUUAGUCAUACAUUCAUAGUCACACAUACACAUGUGCUCACACAUGUUCAGACACAGCCAUGCACAUUUACAUACAGUCACACACAUGCUCACACACCCACACAGGACAGAGACCACCCUCGCCCCAGCACCCAGCCCUCCCCACACACACGCAGAUAUUUCUUCUUUUCAUCCCCAAUGCCCCCCACGCCCCCCCUCCCCGUCUCUUCAUACCUCGGGCCGGCAUGAGGGUGUCGGGUUCUUGUCAGCUCAGCCAGGUGUGGCGGGACCCACGUGGGCGUCUCGCCUCGUCCCCCGAAGCUUGAGGCAGAGGUGGCAGCUGGGGCCCCGGGGGUGACUCCGGCCAAGGCAGAGGUGGGGGUCUCUGCCGUCACACAUCACGCGUGUCAAGUCAGCGGGUGCCGAGGCGGAAGGGGCUUCCCGAGCCCAGCCGGACCCUGGAGCCAGCGGCCUGGGGUCCCCGCCCGGGCUGGGGGUGCAGCCCUCUCGGCCGAGCCCUGUCGGGGACCCCCACCCACCCCCGGCGCCUUUCCCGGGCCCGGGGGGGCAGAGCUGGAGCCUCCGAACGGCCGCGAGGUGAGUGCUGGCCCAUCUCCAGCCUCCUCAGGCCCCGCAGGAAGACUUAAGUCAGCACCGAGAGCCGAGGGCUCGGGGCCCAGAGGGGCCUCAUGUGAUGCCCGGCACCCAGGGACCCCCGGGCCAGCCCCGAAAGCCCCCAGGUGCCCGUUUCCCCCCCACCACGGCGGCCCUGGGGGAGCAGCAGCCGCAGCCAGUUCCGGCUGUGGGGCCCACCCACCCGCCCUCGGCCUCCUGGGGACCCCCAGCACCAGGCUGCUGGCCGCGGCCCGCGGGCCUGUCGCCUGUGACCACCCCCCGCCCCCCUCCAGGAGCCGCGGGGCCAGACACGGCUCGGAUGUCUCAAGACCGACACGGGCAGGGGCGUGUCAGGGUGCAGACCUGGACGGGAAGGGAGGAAGCCCCAAGGCGUGGCCCCGAGUCUCAGGGGGAGCCCCCUCUCCUUUGCUUAGGGCCUCACCCAGCAGUGCUCAGGGCUGACUCCCAACUCUGUGCUCAGGGCUGACUCCCGGCUCAGUGCUCAUGAAUCACUCCUGGCUCAGUGCUCAGGGCUGACUCCCAGCUCAGUGCUCAGGUGGAGCUCGGACACCCAGUGGGGUGCCUUGGCUUGAACCCAGGUCAGCAUGUGCAAGGCAGGUGCCCUCCCGCUGUGGCCUCCCCCAGGCCCUGUAUCUGCCCCCAGGCUGGGCGCGGACGGGGACGGGCUGUGUAGAAUGCUCGUGCCCGGGCUGGCGGGCGCGGUGCCAAGUGGCGCUGUCCAGGUGACCCGGGUCCACUAGUGACUCUGACAUGACCAGCCGCGACGGGGACAUCACCGGAGCCAGCCUGGACCUGCUCCAUCUUCAUGGGGCUAAAUACAGGCGGGAGAGGGCGGGCCAGGAGCGAGGGGACACGGGACAGUGCCCCGGGGGGCUGAGGGUCCCCCCACCCCAGAGAGGGAGCCGGGACACACCUGGGUCAGCUCGCCCGGCCCGUGUGCGGGUCCCACCUGGAGGGCCGGGAGACGGGGGGGCUCUGGGCUCGGGACCUUCCCGCUUCCCGAGGGGCCCCGGGUGGCACAGGGCAGGGCCGGGAGCCCCUCUCUGCAGCGGCCUCACCGCAGGGAGGACGGGCCAGGGGGCAGUUCCAGGUGAUGACCCCCAAUGUUGGGGACGGGCCUGGGCGAGGAGGGGGCCUAGGCACCCCCUGCCUUAGUUCCUGUAAAUGGGAGUGAGUAUGGAGAAACGUGGCGUGAGGGCGAGUCAUCCCCUGACAGCGACCUGGACAGGCGGCCGAAGGGCCACCAUGCUCUGGCGGCCAGCCUGGAAAGGGGGUCGAAGGGCCACCAUGCUCUGGCAACCUGCCUCGAGAGAAAAGUUGAAGGGCCACCAUGCCCUGGCAGCUGGACUCGAGAGGAGGCUGGAGGGAGGAUUGGCUCGCGUCUGCCAUGGCCAUGCUCAAGGCCACAUCUGCUUUCCCCUUUCCCAUGUUUCUCAAGGCUGAGAGAAGGAACCGAAAAAUAAGUAAGAUUGGCAAAAAUAAAGAUGCUCUCACCACUUAAUAAUGUUUAUGCCACUUAUGUAACCUGCUGAUCAUUGCUAAGCUAAGACUAUAUAAACCCGCUUGGAUUUCAGUAAACUUGCUGUAUGCCGUAUG